GAAAUGCGAUAAGUAAUGUGAAUUGCAGAAUUCAGUGAAUCAUCGAAUCUUUGAACGCACAUUGCGCCCGUCAGCAUUCUGGCGGGCAUGCCUGUUCGAGCGUCAUUUCAACCCUCAGGACCCCCCUUUCGCGGGGAGGGACCUGGCGUUGGGGAUCGGCCCGCCCCCCGUGGCGGCGCCGUCCCCGAAAUCUAGUGGCGGUCUCGCUGCAGCCUCCCCUGCGUAGUAGUUACAACCUCGCAUCGGAGCGCGGCGCGGCCACGCCGUAAAACCCCCGACUUUCUGAACGUUGACCUCGUAUCAGGUAGGAAUACCCGCUGAACUUAAGC
rnacentral:misc_RNA from 1 species